CGGACGGGUGAGUAACACGUGGAUAACCUACCUAUAAGACUGGGAUAACUUCGGGAAACCGGAGCUAAUACCGGAUAACAUGUUGAACCGCAUGGUUCAACAGUGAAAGACGGUCCUGCUGUCACUUAUAGAUGGAUCCGCGUCGCAUUAGCUAGUUGGUAAGGUAACGGCUUACCAAGGCAACGAUGCGUAGCCGACCUGAGAGGGUGAUCGGCCACACUGGAACUGAGACACGGUCCAG
rnacentral:rRNA from 1 species